UUGGUUAUGCUAAUAAGAGCGUAUGGUGGAUGCCUUGGCACUAAGAGCCGAUGAAAGACGUGAUAAGCUGCGAAAAGCUUCGGGGAGGAGCAAAUAUCCUAUGAUCCGGAGAUUUCUGAAUGGGGAAACCCACCUGAGCAAACCUCAGGUAUCCUAACGCCAAUACAUAACGUUAGGAGGGGAACCCGGUGAACUGAAACAUCUAAGUAGCCGGAGGAAGAGAAAACAACAUGUGAUUCUGGAAGUAGCGGCGAGCGAAACCGGAAGAGCCCAAACCGGAGUGCGUGCACUCCGGGGUUCGGACCGCGGAAUUGAUCCAAAAGACUUAACAGAACGGCCUGGGAAGGCCGGCCAGAGAGGGUGAAAGCCCCGUAAGUGAAAGGUCGAUUGGCAUGGCGGUAUCCAGAGUAGGUCGAGACACGUGGAACCUUGACUGAAUACGCGGGGACCACCCCGUAAGGCUAAAUACUCCUUAGUGACCGAUAGCGCAUAGUACUGUGAAGGAAAGGUGAAAAGGACCCCGGGAGGGGAGUGAAAAAGAACCUGAAACCAUAUGUUUACAAGCUGUGGAACCACUUUAAAUGUGGAACCGCGUACUUUUUGUAGAACGGUCCGGCGAGUUACGCUGGCUGGCGAGGUUAAGUCCUUAAGGGAUGGAGCCGAAGGGAAACCAAGUCUGAAUAGGGCGUUUAGUCAGUCGGAGUAGACCCGAAACCGGGUGACCUAUCCAUGUCCAGGAUGAAGUUGCCGUAAAAGGCAAUGGAGGUCCGAACCCACAUCCGUUGAAAAGGGUGGGGAUGAGGUGUGGAUAGGGGAGAAAUUCCAAUCGAACCCGGAGAUAGCUGGUUCUCCUCGAAAUAGCUUUAGGGCUAGCCUCAUACAAGUCUUGCGGAGGUAGAGCACUGAAUUUCCUAGGGGGCGUCAAAGCUUACCGAAGAAUAUCAAACUCCGAAUGCCGCGUAGAUGGUGUAUGGGAGUCAGACUGCACGAGAUAAGUUGGGUAGUCAAAAGGGAAAGAGCCCAGACCUGCAGCUAAGGUCCCAAAAUGUGUGUUAAGUGGAAAAGGAUGUGGGAUUUCGAAGACAACUAGGAUGUUGGCUCAGAAGCAGCCAUACAUUCAAAGAGUGCGUAAUAGCUCACUAGUCGAGAGGUCCUGCGCCGAAAAUGUCCGGGGCUGAAACACACUACCGAAGCUCAGGAAUGUACUUGUACAUUGGUAGAGGAGCAUUGUAUACGGGAAGAAGCAGUACCGAUAAGGAGCUGUGGACUGUAUAGAAGAGAGAAUGCCGGAAUGAGUAGCGAGAGGAAGGUGAGAAUCCUUCCGGCCGAAUAUCUAAGGUUUCCAGAGUAAAGCUGAUCUGCUCUGGGUAAGUCGGGGCCUAAGGCCAGGUCGAAAGACGUAACCGAUGGACAACAGGUUGAAAUUCCUGUACCGCGAUAUAACAGAACUGUGGGGACACGUGUGGAGAGCAUAAGCCGGGAAUGGAAAGCCCGGCGCAAGCAAGGUAGGAGUCGUACCGGCAAAUCCGUACGGCAAUCCGAAGAUGUGAUGCGUACCGAAUUAAGAGUAGGGAAGAGUGUGAGCCAUGCGUCAAGAAAAGCCGCUAUU
rnacentral:rRNA from 1 species